GACUCAUGGGUCUAGAAACCCAGCAGUUCUUCAGCGACUAGCGAACGGCCGCCAUGUGAAAGAACCUGUGAUGAUGACGCCGUACGUGGUGCCCAGAUGAAACGCAGUAUUCCCGAGUCCAUCGACCUGGUUCCAUAUGUGCCGAAAAACACCGGUCAACCCCGUAAAUAAAUAAAUAAAGACUUCUGGGCUUCACUAAGUGCUAUAACGUGUCCGAAACAUCAAUCUUGGGAAGGGUUGAUGUUCCUGAGAGGAUUAUUAACCCCGCGAAAGGGUUAAAAGUAAACAGGUGCUCGCCUCUCGUCCCCCCACUACGUUCGCAUCGCUGACCGAGUUGUCUUCGGCACCUAGAGUUGAUGUUGCGACUCGAAUUUCUACUUGACGGUACAAUGUACCUGAGGUAGCCAGGCACCGUAGUACCACACACGUACUGAAAGCAACAGAAAUGGUACGAGUGGGCACGAUCAGAUAAUAAUUCAACCAGCAUCCAACCAUGAUGCAACCUGCAGCACAAGUUCAAACUCCGUUGACGAAUUGGAGCAACUAGAUAACCAGGUUGCUGUCAAAGACAAAUCUACUCUAACGUAUUUAAUUUAAUUUUUACCAAAUGCGAAUCCAGCAAUUAGUUCAAACAUAUAAAAAUGAUCUUAAAUUAUCAUUCUCAUUUGAUUUUGCUAAAUCUCCUACUGCGUAUUCAUAUAAUCAAAAUUUCAUUUUCAAAAAGAAUAGAAGAUGCAUUAUAUAAAUUAACAAAAUAAGUAUUUAUUUUGUCAUUUAAUGUUCUAAAUGUGAAUGUAAAUCAGAAAAAUUGAAAAUUUUUCACUUGUGUCAGUUUAGAAUAUGAAACUGUGUUAAAGAUAUGAAGAUUGUUGAUAAAGUUCAGUUAUAUUCAUAUCACAAUUUAAUAUUUUUCUUUUCGAAACGAUAUAUCGAUUCUAUCAAAACAUAUUUUAUAACAUGAACUGCAUUAUGUUAUAUUUCCAAUUGUUUCAACUAUUUCAAGUAUUUUAAACUUUGCAAGGCGUUAUUAACAACCUGAGAAACGUGAAGUCUAUUAUUAUUUUCAAUAAUGACUGAUGUUUCUAUGGUCAAGUUUAAAUAAUCGAAUUUUCAAAUCGAAUAGUUACCAGUUACCACAAUACAAUCCAUGCUUUUGCCCCAACAGUAUUUUUUUUCGGUUAAAAAGAUGAAUGCGUGUAUCAAGCGCACGUCAGUCGAGCGCAUCUAGCGCACAUUUGCAGGUAUAAAGGUAGUAUAUUGAAAUGUAAUUAAAACAAGAAAAAGAGUUAACAAUAGAGUACCAAAAAGUUAAUACUGUCUCACCAAUGCGAUUAUAGUUAUAGUAUAACAUAAUCUAACCUAACCUAAAUUAAACUGACCUGUGGAAAAUUCAAAAUAUGCAAUUUUUAAAUUAUUUUGAACCUAAUACUCGAACAAAAAUGCAGUCAUUCAUGGAAAAAAUAAUUUCAUUUAUCAAUUUUUAUCCAAUAUUUAAUAUAAUAUAAUAGCAUUUGCUCAUUUUGGAAAAUCUGCACUCACUUCGGCAGAUCAAAUUUUCUUGCGCACUCAUCGAACGAUCUCUCUGAUAGUGUGCGCUAGGUGCACUAAAUGUUGUUUAAAUGUGCCUGUACGCUCGAUGCAUGUGCGCUCCUCGCACCUCACCAAUAAAGAUACAUUUCCAUUAUUUUAAAAAAAAUGGAGGUUCUUCACUUUAAAACAUUCUAACAAACAUUUUAUUGGAAGGAGUGAGUUUGGAUUUAACAGCUCUCAGUUGAAAAAUGAUAUAUAUUUCAAGACAAAAAUAUGAAAACGAAGUUUGUAUAUACACUUGAAAACGGCACAAUUCUUAGAAUUCAAAAUAUUUCGUUAAAAGAACAUUGUCAAUGAGAAACUCCUUUUGACUAUAAAUCCAUAUAUAACGAAGUCGAUUAAGUCGACGUUCUCCAGAAAAACAAAAAUCAAUAUUUGUCACGGCAUUUAGCCAAGAAAGUUGUUUCUCAAAAACCGAUCAAACUCUGUUUUGAAAAACUAGGUAAUCUCAUCUCUAUACAUGAAUCAAUGUAUGUUGGUAUAUAUUUUCAAAAAAUAACUAGCUGAGGAAAAUUGAAUAUAGUAUUCAUCCAGUUAACUCUAAGAGACUUACACGUAGACAGCUUCACACAUUAUUUGGUCUUCUUAGAACCCACGAAGAAAGGUUUAUUCAUACUCUAGAAUGAGUGUAUCUUCAUUUAACGAACUUCUUGUAUAGAAUACUUCUCCAUAUUUAUUAUUAUAGUAUUCCUCCAUUUAACGCAAAGAGAUUUACACCUAGAUAGCUUCACAUAUUAUUUGGUCUACUUAGAACCCACGAAGAAAUGUUUAUUCAUACUCUAGAAUGAGUGUGUCUUCAUCUGAAGAAGUUCUUACGUAGAAUACUCCUUUAGUAUUUAAUUCCAGAGCGGCGACCAUGUUUGAAUUCCAUUUUCAAGCACCUCAGUAUCACACAUUUUUAAAGGCUUCAGUCCAGAUCUAAUGAGUUAUUUUUUCUGGUGGUAUUCAUAUUGAAGUAAGGUAAACUUUGUUCUUUGAAGACGAUAACUUGGUUAUUCAAAAGAUGUCACAAAGUAAUUGUGUAAUAGUAUAUACAGUGUGCUUAGUAGCUUAGUUUAUUAUUGUUUUGUCUUCUCCUACUUUCUAAUAUCACAAUAAAAAUCGUUACCCAUCUAAAAAAAGCGAAAUAUGCUGAAAAAGCUAGAGAAAUUGAGUAAGUAGAAGAAAAGUGAAAGAAAAUACGAGCUAUAACAAUAAAAUUUAUCGCUCAAAACAUCAAAACUCCUCUACUUUCUCAUAUCCACAAUCAACAUGAAAAAGAUUGAACACCUAAAUAUUUGGAAUGACCAUUGGAACUGAUAGAAGAAAAGUUUGGUGAACAUUGCGAGAACGAAAUAAAUGAAAUAAGUUCAAAAUAUUGAAUGAAUUGAAUAUUAUCUGAUCUGUGAGUUAUAUUUUGAGAAUAUUUAUUGUCAUAAAAACAUAUGAUGUUAUGUGGGUCAGCGCAACUCUGGUUGGUUCAAACUUACAUUUUAAUGAAAUUUGAUUUUGGCUGGCCGUAUAGUCAAACCAGUUUUGUUGAUAGGAGAAAAUUAUGUUCAAUGCAUGAAAUGCAAUGUUUGUGUUUACAAAAAAAGGAUGAUAUUUAAAAAUGGAAUAAGAAAAUUAUUUUAAUAAUUCUAUAGUGCCAUUGUAGAUUUAAGGCAAAUACUAUAAUUUAUGUGUACAUAAAAUAUUCAAGUGCCAUUUUAGAUUUUAAUCCUUAUUAAGUUUAAUAGAUUUUUUGUACAUAUUAGCUGCUAGUUGAAUUGUUAUACCGAGUGGUGCAGAGCAACAGCAUAUUUUGGAAUUUCAUAAAGAAGUUUGAUUUUAAUUUAUGAGCAGUAUCAAUUACAAUUUGAAAUGAGGUAUUCAUAAUUCUCAUUUUAUUCCGAAUCUACUUUUGAACUGUUUGACAAUACAUUGUUGGGUAUAACUCACAAUUCUAAAUAUACAUAGCGCAACAAAAUGAAAUUUCUUCAAUCCAGAUAUUUUUAACGAAUGAAACUUCAUUGUUCCUGUAAGAGCUACAUCAACCUUGAUCGGGAAGGCAAAUCCAAAUGAGCAAACUGUUCUGCCUCACCGUAAUAUUAAGUUUUAGAAUAAAUAAAGAAGUUCAUAGUUGUCGAUUCAUAAUUUCACACUCGAGUUUGCUCCUCCAUUUAAGAUUUUUAUCCGUAGUUAGUAUAAUAGGUUUUGUAUAUACGGAGGCCGUUUUUUUACCUCCCAUCGCUUCGUGUAUACGCCACGCGGUCAUGCGCAGUAGGCGACUGCGAAGCUCUCGCACUACACACGUCGCCAUUAUUCACAUUCGGGCGUCAGUCGGCGUUGUGCUACAGUCACGAAAACCUGUCCGCCCUAGUGUUGCAUAAAUCCAUCAGAAAAUGAGUCGUGUGUAUGGGGAAAACUUCAUGAGUGAUGGUGUUGUGCGUGAAUGGUGUCGAAAGUUUAAAUGUGUGCACGAUGAACGGAGUCAAGGAUGAAAAUCUGUCAUUUCAGAUGACCUGGUUCAACGAGUUGACAGAAUGGUUAAUAAAAACCGCAGAUUCACCAUUACUGCUUUGUCUACGGAAUUUCCAGAAGUUUCAAGCAGCAAUAUUUUUUUAAGAGGAUAUUGAAAAACUUGUCCACAGAUAUUACAAACGUCUCAAUCUCUUUGGCAUACCAGUCUUCUGAUAAUAGAAUUAUUGUUUUAUAUAAACUUGUCUUUUAUUUAUAGCCAAUCGGAGGUUGAUAGUUAAAUGAUUAUACCGGGUAGAGCAAGACAAAAGCAUAUUUUAAAAUUCAAUAAAAGUAAUUGUUUUUAUUCUGUGAGCACAAUCAAGUAGGUUAGACAUGUGUUCGUCGAGGUAGCACGAUUUUAGGAUUAUAAAUUGAAAUAAAUAUAUAUCACAGUCCUUGAAAAAAUAAAGAUCAAAUUUCAAUAGGUAAUCUAAAUUAAGUACUCAUUUUUUGGAAUAAUCCAUUUUUUUAAUUAAUCUAGAUUUUGAUUUGAUUAAUAUUGGACCUAACAAUCCAAAUAUGAUACAUUUCUAGUUAUAAAUCUUCCGUAUUCAAUUCAAUUAUAAAUUCAAAUAUAAAUUUUGAAAUUAUUGGUUCAAUUAUGGUAGCUAGACCAAAGUAAAUACUUCGUAACGCACUUGUAGCAAAAAACAAUUAUUCAUAGUUUCAACUUGUUAAUAUCAGUUCUUUCGAUGAUUAUUUUCAAACUUCGACGUAAUCUAACCAAAUGAUUAGUUAGUAGAUUAUAAGAGACACCCUGUAUUAUAUGAACAGAUUUGGUUCAAUCCUAGUGCCAUAUCUAAUGUUUAAGAAUGAAUAAAGGUAUUAAUAAUUAGAAUUAAACAAAAUUUAUAUAAUUUAGUAGUAACUGAAUUUGUAUAUUCGAUGUAUACGGGUUUUCAAUUUAAAAACUAAUUAUUUCUAUUGAAAAAAAAGUCAAUAUGCAGCUCAGUGUAGUCUAGUUCUAAAUACGUAUCUGUAAAUUUGGACGCUAUUAUUUGAAAACUGCCCUCAAAAAAUAAUAAGCUGAUUAAAGUUUGAAAAUGUUGAGAUCAUCCAAGGCCAUGUAUUAGAAAGCUUAACUAGUUCUUUUAGCAGUAUCCUUUAAGUCGGGGUAACUAGUUUUGGAAAUAUAUUAAAAGCGUAUCAAAAUGAUGUACCACUUGACCUAAUUUCUAUUCAAAAAUACGAUGUUUCCAAAUCUAAAUAUAGGUGGAAUAUAGUUUUAUCCUACGAUAAUUAUGUAUCCUGAAGGUCAAGUAGUAUAAUAUUAUAUUUGAACAGAAUAAAUACACAUUUUGUUAUUGUAAAGUACGUGAUAGAGUGAGCUCAUCAAACUAUUACAUUAAAAUUACAAAAUAUGAUUUAUACAAAAUCUUUCCUCGAAAUUUUAUCAAAGUGCUGUCUAUUAGGUCAAGCAAAUUAGUAUUCACAAUUCUCUUUAAAUGUUCGCUUGUUCCCGCAUAUUUCUUCAUUAAAAUGGUUCGCUACUGAUUAUCCAACCUCAUUAGUAAUGUGAACAGGAAUGAUCUAUCUUACAAAAAGGAAGUUAUUAAAUUCCAACUUUAUUUAGGUGCCAGCUUCAUACUGAAGGUUGGCAAUCAUCUGAUUAUUGGAAGCUGCCGCUCUUAAUAAUUGAUUAUUAAACAUAUUAAAUCAAUCUCUUGAAUUUUUCAGCUACGAAAAUAUUAUUACUAGAAGUUGAAGUCUCAGAUGCUGAGGUUGUCUUUUCUUUUGUAGGGUAUCGUUAAUCACAUUUCAAAACACUUGAGGGAUCAAGUAUCUAUUUUCUUCAUUGUGCAUUUCAUAGUUCAGUAAAGACAAUUUAUCUUUCCAGCCGUAUUUUCAACUCAGGACUCAAAUCCUAAAUAUUCAGGCACUGUUCAUUUUCUUGGAUCUAUUCGUUCUUUAUCUAUAAAUAUUAUUUGGUAACAACGAAUUAAAAAUCACAACAGAGCAAAACAAGGAGUUUCGGUCCGAUAGGGUACAAGAGAUUGGCAAGAGGCAAUAAAACAGCUCUAGGAAACCUAUUAAGGUCCAAAGCUAUCUCAAGGGUAGAGAAGCUAAGAAUUUACAGUACAGUUAUAGAAUUAUAGUUAUAGAAUAAGAAAGAGGAAAACAGGAUAAAUGCAUGAAAGAGAGGAGGGAUACGAGUGGAACAAGAUAAAUAGAGAAGAAGAAUGAAUGCAGAAAUUAAAAGGUUAUAUGAUCAGUCAGACUGCGUUUGGGGCAUAUAACCACAAUGGAAGAAAACAGAUGCGUGAAAAUAGCCUUGAUAAGAAGAAGAGGGCGUCCACAUAGGAGAUGGCUAGAUGCUUGUAAGGAAGACUUACAAAGUUAGGAAUAGCGAACUGUUGCAGCCGUGAACAAAGGGAGUCAGAGAAAAGAAAUGAGCCGUGGGCCUAUACGGCCUGCUGGGAGGUUUUGGGAUAAGUCUAGCAACAAUUAAUAAAAUUACGGGCACGGGUCUUCGAACUUUUGGAACUCGUAAAUUUUGAAACGCGAAUAACUAGAAAAAUAAGAAUUCGAAAAAAACUGCACGAACAAAAAAUGAAGAGCACAUAAUUUUCUAUAAAAAAGGUCUUCAGUCACUUUUUCGUUGCAACCACUAUUUCUACUCUAACUCUUGGAAAACUACAUCGUUUUGAAAAAAUCAAUCAUGUUGUUUAAGAUCUCUAUUUUCUACUCUGGCAAUUAAGCAUAAUUUUCGACUUUUUUCGGAAAUCUUGCGAGAUGAAGAGGUAUAUUGACCACAUAAGCACUUGAAGUUUCAAUGGAUAUAUUUCAACACUUGCCAUAUAAACAAUCAAAUCCAACGAGAGAUUUAUCGUUCGUGUUAUUAUCAAUAUUUUCAUGUAUGUAAUACACAUGAACUAUUUCUUGGUUUCAAAUGAACUAACUUUUAAAAAACUAUCUUCGUUCUCGGUUGAUUAUUAUUUCAAUUUCACAAAAAUGUGGGUACUCAUUUUGAAGCUUAGAAUCUCAGCUCCAAAUGUAUACAAAAACAUUCUCAGGAUGAUGUUAGGAACAAAUACCUGAGAUACUUUAUUGUAGAGAAUCUUGUAUUCUACAUUUUUUGUUACGGGAGUUUUUUCGAAUUCGUCAUAGUUUUCGAGUUAUUCGCGAUUCAAAAUGUUUUUGAGUACAUACACCUAUUUUACGGUGAAAAUUUUGAGGUUAGGAAAAAUGCUUGCAGACAGACCAAUCUGUAGAGAAUUUUGUGCUGUACAUUUUUUACAGCACUUCGAAUUUCUCAUAAUUUUCGCGUUUCAAAAAUUUCGAAAAUACGUGACAGUUAUUUUGUUAAUUGUUGCUAGACGUAUUCAGUAUCCCAAAACUUUCUAGAAUCUAGAAAAUCCCCAAUUUAAUUUAAAGCUUUAGCUCAAAAUCGCCCAAUUUACCUGUACUAUUUAGCAUUUUCCUUUUUAGGAAUCGUUUCAAAUAUAAAUGACAACUAGUCUUGGGACAUUAUUGCUUUCAAUGCAAUUUCAUCAUACCUGAUUGAUUUUUCGGUUUUCAUUGUGUCUAACACAUGUACAACCUCCAUUUUGUUAUAUCCGAAACUUCAUCUCCUUGGUGUUCGUAAAGGUUAUUUGUCUUUCUCCAUCUUCGAAUAGUUCUGACCGAAGUAAAAUAGUAAAAAACGCAAUAAAUUAUGAGUCAGAUAUAUUUUUUUAAAAACUCAACUUCCAAAAGUGAACACCUGGACAGGAAAUCCAGUAAAAACGACCAGGAUUCUAAUAUUUCAGAAAUUUUCUCAAUGAUAUUGUUGAUCGAGGUACCUAACAUCAUAAUUCAUCAUACUCUAUAUUUUCAUAUUAUACAAAGUUACGUAAAAGUGGUCAAUGAACACAUAUCUAUAAUGUAAAGUUCCAGGACUUUUCGAGUUAACCCCCAUGAUCUUAAUGUUCGGAAACUAGUCCAGAUCACGUUCAUUGUUGUUAGGAAACUGAGUUAAUCGGGUCGUAGUCAUUUAUUAUGAUUCUUUCUACCCUUGUAGACUGGUGAGUAAAUAUGAUUAGUUGACGGGUUGUUUCAUUUGUCUAUGGUUUCUUCAAUUUUAAAAAUUGUUUCUUUAAACGGCUGUUUCAUAAUUUUUUUGUGAGUAGUUUUACUUGUCCAAUGAGAAAAUUUCAAUAAAGUACAAUUAGAACUGUUAUUAAUUACAAUAUUCAAUUAUCAAAAAUAGCUGAUACAUUAUAAUUUUUCUCGCCAUAACAUUGUAGUUAUAUACUUGACUAAUCGAAAGUACUGGGAACAUACAAUUAAGUAAAUUACUAUAAUAAUAUGAAUGUGGUAAUAACCUACAACCGAAGUUGAUUCUACCAAAAUAAACAGGGCUAUUCAUGGGUGUAUUGAAAAGGAACAAGCGCGACUCUGAUUGGCGAUAGAAAAAUUAAGUACGUACCAAUCUUAUUUUAGUAGUGUCAAUUAAUUUAUUAGUAUCUAUAAUAGAAGACUGGAUGAAAGCUAGUAGUAAGACUAACUUGAUGACACGCCUGUUCAUGUUUGAAAAUAAAAUUCGAAUAAUCAGAAAUAACUGUUAUUUAAAUUUUAUUUGAUUUUGAGGUGUGUUUAUCUUUGAAAAAUUAGCCGCAAUUACAUGUAAUUGAAUUUAGUGUGAUUAAUCUAUUUAUAUAAAUUGCAAAGACAGUUUUUUCAUGUGAAGAAUUGGGUAAAAUAGUUGUUUUAAGUCAAGCCCAACGUUGAGAUCUGAAUUUUAUAUUUACUGUUCACAAAAAAGCAUUAGAUCCAGAUCCAGUGACUAAUUUUAGGUGGUCAUUUCAAAAGUCACCAAACCUUUUUCCAGUAAAUCCUCUAUACCUAUUGAAAAUGAAAAGCCACUUCUUGCAGCCAUGUGUGGCUGGAGUAGACUACCUUAAAAUUUUAAGGAAGGUAAGAAAUAAGAUUUAUUAGUGCUUCUAAAUAUUGUUGAUGUUAGGUCUCUUUGUUUAAAGAUUAGUUUUUUUUCAAUAUUUUUUGAGAGAUUGAUAAAAAAUUAAAUAUAUUUUGAUUUCGCCAGAGCGAAAAACGUGUGCAAGUGCAAGUAAGACAAAAAUAUGUAAACCUGCGGGUUAGAAUGAGUACGCUUAUUGGGAAUCUGUGGACUUCAUUAGUCGUAGAUUUAAAAUGAUACAUAAUGCAAUAGAUUUUUUUUAAUCUUGUUGAAACAUCACUUUUGAAAUAUUUUUCUGUACCUUUGACACAGAUAUUCACAAGGGAAAAUAUUAAACCGUGUAUUAUUCUAAGUAUUAUUUCAUUUUAGGAAUGAAAAUUCGUAGAAGUCUAUUGCUGUUACUUGUAUCUGUGACAUACCUUUAUAUUUCUUAUUAUACAUUUUAAAUGUCUUAACACAGUUAUGUAUAAAAAGUAGGGAUCCUCUAAUGGUUUGGAGUGUUGCAUACGAUUCAACAUCUCAGUAUAGUUUUUUCAAUAUCAUUUGCAAAAAACUGUUAUGGGAGGAACAAUCAAUAAAUAACAUCAAACAAACUGUCAGUCCACGUGGACUCAUUGUUUACCAAUGAAAACAUCGAAUCGUAAGCAUAAAUGCAUUUCUAUUGGUCGAAGCUGUCGAAAGGUACAAUUUCUUUGAAAUUUUCCUGCGAUAAGCAGUGGCGUGGCUUGGCGAGAUGCAUGUAAUUUAUAAAUUUCUUUAAAUAAAUAGAAAUAUGGCGACCAUAGGCGAAUGAAGACAAUUAAAUUGCUCAGUUUAGUGAGAAUAAAGACAAGUAUGAAUUUAAUAAUAAAGAUUUACAAACACAGCAGUUAUUUUAAAUAUAUUUGAAUGUUUAAAAAAGGAAAAUAUUCAGCAAACUGAAAAUGCAAUUAUAAUAAGAAUUGCUGAAUUCGCUAGAGUAAAUAAAUUUUCCAUUUAUCGAGUAGUGACGAAAGGGGUUGCUGUGGAUCCUUUACAGAACCGAAAAACAUGUAAAGAAAAACUGAAAUCAGUUGACAAAUCUAUAUAAAAAGAACAGACAUUAAAAGUAAUAUAUCAAAAGGUAGCAGUUUAUUCAGAAUACAAUUACACCAGUUUAGAAAUGUCAAGUUUUGUCAGCAAGUGGUUUUAAACACAAAAAACUGAAUAAAUGGAUGGCAAUAACAAUCGUCAAGGAUAGUUCGAUGGCGACAAGAUUAUUUGCGUCAAAUGAAAGACUAACAAAGUUCUAAUAGACCAAUGGUGUACAAAAAGAGCUAAGUUCACGUCUAGCACCCUGUUUAAACCAAACGCGCUUACAGGCAGAUACAUUUUACUCGUCUAUUCACGUUUUAUAAUUUAAUAUUCAGUUGUAGCGAGUUAUUUAUGUAUUUACGACUAUGGUAAAUCAAACAAAAUUGUCGGCAAGAAUUUAUAUAAUCUGCAAUUGAUAUUGGAAGAACUAUAGUUGUUUACAAACAUUUUUGGAGUGCAGUUCAGUUUCACUCGUGCGUCGAUCUCGAUAUUUUUGUUAAAGAUUACAAAAUAUUCAAGUAGAGACAAUUUUAAAGUAACGUGAGGUAUAUUUCUACAUGUGUUGAUUUGCAUACUUCAUCAAAUAAUAAUUUAGACUCGUAUGCUAUAGACUUGUUAAAAGGAAUUCAGUUUUUCAAAAAUUAUGUAUGUGUAGUAAUUUUUGAGGUAGACUAAGGUAGGGCAUGGUAAAAAAAAGGUUGGGAAACAUUUUCCAAAUAUUGAGUUACUCAGUUUACUUGAUGAUUUUAGAGAUAAGAAAUAUUAAUUCAAAUUUUUAUGAUUUCUUUGGGGAAGAUGUUUCUUUGAUAUGUCUAGAGUCGCUCCUACGCCCGGAUCUGUAGAAUAUUUUUUAUCUGAUCAGCAUCGGUCGGUUAGUAUCAAAGUAUCAAAGCUGAUUUCUCAUUCAAAUUUUUAAUAAGAAACCUUUUUUCGAUUAAACUCCGAUGUUUAACGUAGAUAUAAAACAUUUAUAAAUUACAAAUUCGAAUUUUCUAUUUCGAAUAAACAACCUGUAUAUUUAAGAUUAUAGUUUAUUUAUGUAGAAUGUCAAAUAAGAUUGGAGGAUAAAAGUUACUGAUAUCUGUGAUUGACAAGGCUGGUAUUAGAGCUACCAUGAUUCCAAUUACAAAGUAUAAAGAGUUAAGAUUUAUACUCUGAGAAAAACGUUCUAAUCUAUACGAGUAAUUUCUAUUAAACGUUGAAUAAUUAUGAUAAUUGAGUGUUUUUUUUUCAAUUUCUGAUCUGAUGAAGUUUCAUAAACUCGUAAAAUCAAUUUAUCUACAAGUAUUUGAAACUAAAUUCAAAGAAUUUUUCAUUUCCGCUUUGUUUUAUCAGGAAAACCAUGCUUUGAGAUUUAUUUUUGAUUUUACAUGUAUCGCAUCAAGGUAGAGAGUUAAACACCGAAAUUUAGAUCUGAUUCCACCCUCUCACUAAUGUCAAAUACCUCGCCAAUGCCUAGUUGACGAUGAGGCUUGGCUUUACUUUGAUAAUUUUCUUAUUUUCGUGUUUUACGAGCGAAGUAUAAAACGUUGGAUUUUUGUAAUUUGCAUUCAUCUCAGAGCUAGAGUUUUAUAUAGAUUUCAUAGGUAUAUCUCGGAAAAAGCAGUUACAGAAACUAUAACUUGCUCCGAAAAGCUAUGGAUGAGUUGGGAAAUCGUGACGUAAUGUACAGAUUAAAGAGUUUUUGGAAAACUAAUUGAAAAUCAUACAUAUAAAAAACACGUGUUAAAAUGUUAUUAUUUGAUAUUUAUAUGUAUCUCUCUGCGUAAAUUUUAAAUUGCAGUUGGUUUGUUUGAGGCUGUAAAUAUCAUGAUGAAUAAUUUUUAAACAGACAUUUUGGGUACAAAAAAUUUGUAAGCAAGAACUUGAUUACUUUGUUUAUUACAAUUACUUCACAUUAUCCAAUACUAUGACGAAAUUAAUAAUAAAUUAAAUCCAGAAUUUGAUAGAAAUUAUCUUCAAAAGCACAGGCAUCCAUUUUGUUUUUUUUAUGAAAAUCGUUGGUACACUUUGGCACAUAUUCUGUACAGAACCUUCUUAACCGCCAAUAUGGGUUAUCAUUAAUCAUUGAAUGAAGAUUUUUCGCAAUUGGAGCCUAAUAAAUAUAUUAUAGGCAAUUAAAUAUUCAUUCAAAAACUCAAAGUUAACAAGAGUCACUGAAUCCUACGAGAGUAGCUACUUAAGAUUUGAUAACUAUAAAAACAAAUAUUUAUAAUUGAAUAUGUCUUUAUUGUUUUUUAAAAUAUUCUCCAUUAAGAUCAAGACACUUUUACAGGAGACCACCAAGUGCUUUGAGCGGCAUUUGGUUCGAAGUGCUUCGUGCGCGAACAACUUUUAUUGGAUUUGACUCCUCUUGAAAGACCCAUACAGUCGAUUAUUUAGUUUCUAUCUAUGUCUUUUGAAUCGAUACGAGCGUUUUUGAAGCGAUUGUGAAAUUAUCAUGUCUACAACGGGAACAAAUCUUUCUGACAGCCAAAUUUUAACGAAAUAUUGAAUGUAUGCGAGUGGCACUAAUGACCAAUUAUACACUAAAAUAUUUGCGAUUUAAUACAUUUUUUUCCAAGACAAAUGUUUCAAGUAACUCUAAACUGCUGGACCAUUAAAAGUUUCAAUUUUUAUGCAAUAUCAGAUUUGAUUUGAUGUAGCCUCAAAACUCAAGUAACAACACUCGAACAAAUUUUCUAGUCACUUUAAAUUAACCACGUAUUAAAUGAAUGAUUUAAAACAUAAUAUAUUUCAAGUGGUAUAUUGUUAAAAAAUAAGUAGAAUAAAAACGAACCAAACUCAAAAACAACAAGAAAUAUCGAUAUCUACUAUUUAAUGAUAUAUCGGGUUGGCGAAUAAGUAAUUUCGGUUUUGUAGCAUAAAAUUAAACACAUUUUUUAAAACAAAAAAUAAUCAAUUAUACAUUUCCCAAUUUGAUCAAUGACUUUUUGCCAUCUUACUUUCAGCUUCAUGAUUCCGCGCUCAUAAAAUUUCUGGUCCUUAUCAGCAAAAAAACUGAACCAUGUGCAAUUGAAGGUCAUAGUAAACAAAUGAAUGGUAAUCAGAUCGUCCCAUAUCAGGCUUGUAUGGGGGAUGUGGCAUCACUUCCCAGCCAAGCUCCAAUAGUUUCCCACGAGUUACCAAAGAUGUGUGAGGUCUUGCAUUAUCAUAGUGAAGCACUGAACCUUUCUGAUUUUACAAUUCUGGUCGUUUUUCUUUGAUUGUUUCAUCCUUCAUUAUUCAUUAAUUGUUGACAGUAAACAUCCGAAUUGUUCUUUUGGUUCUUUAAAAGCAGCUUAAAAAACCACAACAUCUUUGUAAUCUGACAGCAAGAGUUGUGUUAUUUUUCAGCUUUCGAUGUGGUUUGUGCUAGUUCAUCGUGUUUUUCAAUUCAUGAGGUAUCCAAAUAUCAAGCUUCUUAACUAGCCUAAGACAUUUCAAGUGUUGCAGCUUAUUCGCAACCUCUUUAACAGUGAUGAGGAUCCCCUUCAAUUAUGACUUUGAUUUGGACAUCAACUUCAGUAGGCCGACCAAAACGUUGCUCAUCUUGGAGUUAAGCAAUCAGCACUCAUUACUUUGUGAGCCACAGCAGCCUUUUUUCCUUUACGGAAAUAAAAAUGUAAAAUGUGCCGAAAAUUACUGCACUACAUUUAAAAUUAACUUAAAACUAAUAGCUUCAAUGAAAAUUUGCUUCUAAAGUUACUUCAAUGUGACCAGUAUCACGUGACAAACAGCAAAGUAUAGCACUAACAGAAAUUAUUCAAAAAAUAAAGCAAAGCUCUCUAUCAGUAAACAGCGAAAGUACUUAGAUGCCAACCUUAAAUAUCGUAUGUAUAAACUGAAUUAGUGUAGUGCUUAAAAAAUAUUUUGAACAUAGCUACUGCACAUACUCUAUGUGGAUAAUUCGAAGCUAAGAAUAUCUUAGAUGUUUCGAAAUUCACCAACAAAGCUAUAUCUCCAAAAUCACAAAUUUCUUUAUUUCCUAUUAAAUUAAUGUAUAUUAGUGUAAAUGUAAGUAAUUAACAUAAAGUUUAUUGAUAAUGUUGUUUUCAUAUAGACAUUUCUAGAUAAGAAAUUUAUCUAUAGUUAGGCUGAAGUAUAGCUUUAAAAUUUAUAUCUUGUAAGAUUGGAUCUGUAUAUGUUUUCGCUUAUAAAUAAAUUCAAGUUUUUUUUCCACAAGAA